rnacentral:lncRNA from 1 species
AAAUCUCCAAAAUAUUUGCUUAUGAUUGGUGGUAUAAGAGGUGAGUUGUAUUGGAAAAGAUAUGGAUAUACAAAGAAUUUCAAGGAAUAUAUGUAUUGAACGGAAGAGAGAGAAUUUGGUACAAAAAAAUUCAAAUUAAGAGAUUAAAGGGAAAAAAAUAAAAAAUUUUAAGAUAGAUACACACGCAUUUUAAAAAAAUUAAGAGAAAGAAUUUCAUUCAAGAAUAUAUAUACAUACAUACACACGCUCGGACAGGAAUUUUAAGGAAUAUAUGUAUUGAACGGAAGAGAAAGAAU